GCACGAAGUGCGGGGCAGCGGCCGGGAGCUGCGGCCGCUCGGGUUCGGGCUCCGCGUUCCCCGCUCAGCGUGAACCGCUCCGUGCCCGUCCCGGUGGGAGCCGCCCGGCCGCAGCCCCGCACGGUGAGCGAUGUAACCGGCUGGCUUCGUGCGGGAACGCCGAGGAGCCGGGACGGCCCGCUGCCUACGCUGGCAGCAAGGCGCUGACUCGGCAGGAAUUGGCUUCUCGUAGUAAACGCACGUUACUCUAAGACCAAUCGAGUCCUCUGGCUGGCGAGCAUUUGGAAACCGGGGCAGCAGGUACGCACCCGCCUCCCUGCCUGGCCAGCUCGUUCCCAGCGCACGGAGCUUGCUGGGUGCGGCAGCGAGCUGCGGGGUGGUUUGUAGGACAGAUGCUCGCGUGUGUGCGCGACGUGAGCGGCAGCGGGGGCUGUGCUGGGCCGGACUGGGGAGCUGAGGCACUCACCGAGACCGCGCUGAGCAUCAUUCGGGAGCCGUGAGUGGAGCGGAGUAUUUAACCCAGCUUCUCUUGCAAAGCGCAUUGCAGGAGAGAUCUUCAAAAAGAAGUAAGGGAGAAAGGCUCGUUUCACCUGGAAAGAAGACAAAGGAACGCUGAAAUGAGUUUUGUUCGUGUGCGUAGGAAGGACGCCAGCCUCAGUUAAAGCCGUGCAUCCCUCCCCAGGAGCAGAGCGAUCCCUGCAAGCAGCAAAACCAAACUCUCUGUUUUCGAGUUCCGUUCGGCACCAGUUCCAUCUCAUUCAGCCACCUGCUGAGCACGAAAGCAGCCUGCAGCCACAGAAUCUGCUCUGCCCGUGGCAAACGGAACACAUUUUUCCUCUGCACAAAUCCGUACAUUCUAAUUAUGAACUCCUCAUUGUUAAGGCGUCGGCCACGUGUUCUCAUAAUCACAUACAGGGUCAUAUUCAGUCAUGUAUCUAUCCAACAUUUUGGCUGAGGUUAUGUUUAAAACAAAAGCGAGGACUGCAAGGCACUUGCCCCUGUGUUCCGGCCAUAAACCUCGGCCUGUACUUGGCACACCUCGCAGCAUUGCCUUGCCAGUGUUUGUCAUGUUGCGUAUUGAAUUUUGUUGCAUUAUGGGUACUGAUUCCCAGGUCAGUCAGCACGGGUUUACGUUAGCAGCACGACCAAAAAAUGUCCUGGAAGGCAGAAAAUCAGAGGUGCUGUAAGUGACACCCUGCUCAGUGGAAGCAAAGGAAUCGCUGGACGGUGAAGCUGGAUUUUUGCAGCAGGAAUUAUCAAACGAGGGCACUUGCACAGAGGUGACGGAGGCUCCUUGGUCACCGGAAUUCUGGCUUAUGUACAAACAAAGCAGAAGGCUUCUGCGGAGUUAGUCCUGAACAUGACGAAACCACGUCAAUAUUCACAAAACAAAGAACAGGAAAGCCAAAUUUUCCUUCCCUAAGGCAGCCGCACCCGGCAGAGAACUAACACCACUUUGGAGACUGGAAGGAGGAUCAUGCAUAUGGAUUGCUGCCCUGAAUCCGGGUCUGCUUAGCACUAGCCAGCACUUAAGGACGCUAGCUGCUUGGCAGACUGCUCUCUGAAAUGUGAGGUAUCCAGAAGAAAAAAAAAUAGGACAAUAAUACUUGAGCUGGCAGCCAGCAUAUCACCCUUCUGGAGAAGUAAACCGAGCAUCACCUGCAACUGCAAAGCAGCACACAAAGCUGCCUCCUCAGCCACCCCCGGCGUGGCUCUGCCUGCAGCCCAUCAGCCUUGACAAUGGAUAUGCAACGUGCCUGGCCUAUUGAGUAAAAGCAAUAUUAAAAGUUUUAUAGUCGAGAAGCGUGUUAACUCUUAGCUUGUGCAGUGCCGGAGUUUCGUAAGUUUUCUACUUCUAUCAGUGCGUUCUACUUAUGGCAGAAAGCCGAGGUUCUCAGCGCCUCUUUGCUUCUGUCUUCAGUAGUCUGACCAGUUAUCGUCCGGGUCCUCAGCUCCCUCAGCUGGAUGUCAGGGGUGGGAAGGUUCCCCCACACCCCCACAAUUCAGGAGGAACGAGUUAGUGGCCUGCUGCUCUACCUGGCCUGCCACAAGUCCAUGGGCCGGAUGGGGCCCACCCCAGGGUGCUGGCGGAGGCGAUCACGAAGCUGCUCUCCGUCAUUUGUCAGCAGUCCUGGGCAGCCAGAGAGGUCCCAGGUGACUGGGGGCUGGGCAGUGUGAUGCCCAUCUACAAGAAGGGUCGUAAGGAGGAUCUGGGGAACCGCAGGCCUGCCAGCCUGACACGGGGAUCAUGGAAGGUCAUGGAGCAGAUUGUCUUACGUGAGAUCACACGGCACGUGUGUGACAACCAGGGGAUCGUGCCCAGCCAGCACAGGUUCAUGAAAGGUCCUGCUUGACAGGAAUUAUUAAAGGAGGGCACUUGCACAGUGCUGACGGAGGUAGGACCACCCUUGUCAUGCCGGUUUGGGCCUCUGUUAAUGAAUUAUUCUGCAGAAUUUCCAUUUGGGAUCCAUUUUGCCAUUUGUAGGGUAAACCACAGAAGGCAGCGGGAGGGAGCACGCACUCACAUGCCUAAGGAAGGGAACCAGAUGUCACUCGAAAGUGGGGGCAGAGUGCCAGCGGUGCCAAGGGGAGAAGCUGCACUGGAAUUUAGGUCUUGCCAGCCUUCCUCGUGUGUCGGUACCAAACAGCCCCAGCAGCAGUUCUCAUUAUUCUCUUACAGAUCUGACCACUUAGGAUUUGGUGAAGCACUUUUCUGCUUCUCAACGCGCCCCUGGUGGAUAACAGUGUGAGGCACAGCCUUGCCAGGUGCCCUGUGCUGCGUUCCACUGCAGAGCUCUCCCAGCCUGUCUGGCCCUGCCUGCCCUCUUUGCCAGCAGCAGCCCCUUUGGCUGGGACACUGAUGACAAAGUGCACCUGUAUAACGAUGAAGGCUUGCUUUUUUUUUCACCUGCUGUGCAAAAGACACAAGACAAAAGCAGCUAUGGAACUGCCCUCACCAGAAGUGCCUUGCCAACACAGAUAAACACCUUAGCUCUGUGAUAGCACAAGGCUUUUUCGCUCUUCUAGAAUUGCUUGCUGCUAUUUCAUCUCACCCAGCUUUGAUUUUAGCAGUGAGAACGAGUGAUAUAAGUUCCGCAGAACAGCCGCUUUUACUCCCUUCCACGAGGAAUAAAUCUGCUUCAUACAAAUGGCAUUAUGAGUCCUCACCCUGCCACAGAGCCUGGUACAGAGGGGAGGGCUGGCGCCCAGGGACACCUGAGCAGGAGCAGCACUCGCAAGCCUUCUCCUACAUCAAGUACAUCUUCAGUUUUGGGGUAUUACUCAUGAUUUUAUCCUAAAUGCUUUCAUGUACCUUUAUUAUUACAUCUUGUAUCGUGGUCAAUCUUAGCUUUUUCUCUAAGGAGCUGUUGUUACUGCUGGUGGCUGUGCUGCCUUGGUGGCUGCUGCUCUGCGAACUCCUGCUGUUGUGGUUAAAACACAGAUAAUGAACCAGCCAGGAGACACGCAGGGAAGGCACGGACACGGCGGGGACUUUUCAGUGGCAAACCAGAACCCCGAGUCUCACCGAUGUCACUGCGUUCCGCUGCUAAGUCGCUAAGUCGCUCUUCAUCUUUUUUCAGCUUAUUGUUUUAGUUUUGCAUGUCUAAGGGGCAUACCAAGUUAAUUCAGUGAGUUCUGUUCUGACGAGACUCCAGUGAGCUUGCAGAAGAGCAGUUGUACAAACCCACCUGAUACAGAUGAUUUUUCAGGGGGAUGGGAUUUUUUUAAGUGCAUGUUUGUAACACUACCAGUGCUAGUUCCCUCUGCACGUUGCUAGGGGUUUGCUGUACAAGUCUUACACAGACUGCUUGAUUUAAGCUGUAUGGGGCAAAGGGUUUCUGUCAAUGUACAAAGGCUUUGGACCAACCUGGAUGCAAAUGGGAAGUGCCUUUUUAACUGCCUUUACAGAAGUUGAACAGUGUGUCAUUGCCGUGUGAGCAGUGUUAGCUUACACUUAGCACUAGCCAGGAUUUAGGGACGCUAGUUGCUUGGCAGACUGCUAUCUGAAAUGUAAGGUAUCUACA